rfam:Salmo salar isolate Sally breed double haploid chromosome ssa22, whole genome shotgun sequence.
UGCAUUCACUACUGUAAGUCGCUUUGGAUAAGAGUGUCUGCUAAAUGACUAAAA